UGCCAGCAGCCGCGGUAAUACGUAGGGACCUAGCGUAGUUCGGAAUUACUGGGCUUAAAAGAGUUCGUAGGUGGUUGAAAAAGUUAGUGGUGAAAUCCCAGAGCUUAACUCUGGAACUGCCAUUAAAACUUUUCAGCUAGAGUAUGAUAGAGGAAAGCAGAAUUUCUAGUGUAGAGGUGAAAUUCGUAGAUAUUGGAAAGAACACCGAUGGCGAAGGCAUUUUACUGGGCCAUAACUGACGCUGAGGAACGAAAGCAUGGGUAGCGAAGAGGAUUAGAUA
rnacentral:rRNA from 1 species